rnacentral:rRNA from 1 species
GGCUCAGAACGAACGCUGGCGGCGUGCCUAACACAUGCAAGUCGAACGUGAUUGGGGAGCUUGCUCCUCAUGAAAGUGGCGCACGGGUGAGUAACGCGUAGAUAAUCUGCCUGAUGAUCGGGGAUAACACUUCGAAAGGGGUGCUAAUACCGGAUAAGCCCACGGAGUCUUUGGACUCUGCGGGAAAAGGGGGGGACCUUCGGGCCUUCUGUCAUCAGAUGAGUCUGCGUACCAUUAGCUAGUUGGUAGGGUAAAGGCCUACCAAGGCGACGAUGGUUAGCUGGUCUGAGAGGAUGAUCAGCCACACUGGAACUGAGACACGGUCCAGACUCCUACGGGAGGCAGCAGUGGGGAAUUUUGCGCAAUGGGGGGAACCCUGACGCAGCAACGCCGCGUGAGUGAUGAAGGCUCUUGGGUCGUAAAGCUCUGACAGAGGGAAAGAAAUGUACUGUGGCUAAUAUCCACGGUACUUGACGGUACCCUCAAAGGAAGCACCGGCUAACUCCGUGCCAGCAGCCGCGGUAAUACGGGGGGUGCAAGCGUUGUUCGGAUUUAUUGGGCGUAAAGCGCGUGUAGGCGGUUUUUUAAGUCUGAUGUGAAAGCCCUGGGCUCAACCCGGGAAGUGCAUUGGAUACUGGAAGACUUGAAUACGGGAGAGGGCAGUGGAAUUCCUAGUGUAGGAGUGAAAUCCGUAGAUAUUAGGAGGAACACCGGUGGCGAAGGCGGCUGCCUGGACCGAUAUUGACGCUGAGACGCGAAAGCGUGGGUAGCAAACAGGAUUAGAUACCCUGGUAGUCCACGCCGUAAACGAUGAGAACUAGGUGUUGCGGGUAUUGACCCCUGCAGUGCCGUAGCUAACGCAUUAAGUUCUCCGCCUGGGAAGUACGGUCGCAAGACUAAAACU